rnacentral:rRNA from 1 species
UAUAGUUUAGUGGCGGACGGGUGAGUAACACGUGAGCAACCUGCCUUCGAGAGGGGAAUAACGGCUGGAAACGGUCGCUAAUACCGCAUAACGUACGGAUGGGACAUCCUGUCUGUACCAAAGAUUUAUCGCUCGAAGAUGGGCUCGCGUCCGAUUAGGUAGUUGGUGAGGUAACGGCCCACCAAGCCGACGAUCGGUAGCCGGACUGAGAGGUUGAACGGCCACAUUGGGACUGAGACACGGCCCAGACUCCUACGGAAGGCAGCAG